CAUCUGUGUAAAGAGAAAUGAAUUUUGUUGCAGUAAAGUUGUGAUAUUCUCGAUUUGAUAAUGAUAAAGUAAUCGCAGCAACGAACCGGCUGGGAAUACUAAGAAACGGUUACGGCAUUGAUAUCGAUCAGAACAACACGUAUUACGAUUACUGGGAGACAGAACUAUCGGCCAUGUUAUUACAACAAUGGAUCGCCAGUAUAUGACAAUGAAUCGAAGUAGAAGUUGUCGGAAACUCGCAGCUUUCCUAAAUGGUAAAUAAGAAAAAUCGCUGGUUGAGACAUGGGUGGAAAUGAGGGAUAAAAAUAAUCACAAAUUAAUUGUCCAAAACGAACCUUGGAACAGACGUUUCCAGGCAUGGCUCUUUCUCCGCGGCAGCUUCAACCGCGAUGAUAUCCUGCUUUGCAGUGCUCAUAUUGGGUUUUAUUUAGCCUGAUAAGAAGAAUAAUAAGGAAUGAGCCAAUAAUAAGAGGAAAUGAAUAUUUUCAUAGCUACA